ensembl:snoRNA predicted gene, 24297
UGUCAAUGAUUUAUUUCUUUUGGAACUGAAUCUAGUGAAUUUAGCAAUUUGCCACUAUCACUGAGGCA